GUGUUUAUUUCAGUAACACAUAUAUUAAAUUGAAACAAUACAAAGAUUAGCAUGGCCCUGUGCAAAAAUGAUAUAAAAAUUCAUAAAGCAAUCCAUAUUUUG